rnacentral:misc_RNA from 1 species
UUCGAGCGUCAGUACAACACUCAAGCCUAGCUUGGUCUUGGGCCUCGCCGGAAACGGCGGGCUUUAAAAUCAGUGGCGGCGCCUGUUAGGCCCUUAGCGUAGUAAUACUCCUCGCUACAGGACCCUCUCAGGAGCUGGCCAGCAACCCCUAACUUUUUAAGUUUGACCUCGGAUCAGGUAGGGAUACCCGCUGAACUUAA